AGAGAGUAAAGGAGGGGGCUUAGUACACAGCCCUGAGGGGCAGUGUGUUGAGGGUCAGAGCUGAGGGAGCCCACUCUUAUCACUUUGCCAGUGAUCUGACAAGAAGUCAGGAUCCAGCUACACAAGGCAAGGUGAAGGCCAAGGUCUCUGAGAUUCUCGUCGAGUCUGCAGGGAAUUAUGGCGUUGAAUGCUGAACUAUAGACCAAGAACAGCAUUCCCACAUAAGCAUCCCUCUUCUCCAGAUGUGUAAGGAUGGUGUGUAGAGCUGUAGUUAUUGCAUCAUCUGUUGAUCGGUUGCAUCAGUAGGUGAAUAGUAGGAGGUCCAAUGUGGGUGGUAACAUGCUGCAGAUGUAGUCCCUGACCAACCUCUUGAAGCAGUUACUUAUUAUUGAGGUGAGUGCAACAGGAUGCCAGUCAUUCACAUAUUUUCCUUUGGUCUUUUUAGGUACUGGAAUAAUGGUGGAUGAUUUGAAGCAGGAGGGCACUCUACACAGGGAGAGGGAGAGAUUAAAAAUGUCUGUAAACACACCUGCCAGUUGUGCUGCGUACAUCCUGAGUACUCGCCCUGGGAUGCUGUCUGGUCCCGCAGCCUUGUGACUGUCCACUCGUUGGAAACAUCUAAGUACUUCGGCUUCAGAGACAACCAAGCUGCUGGUCGCAUCAUCUUGGUGAUCUUGCAUGUUGGGAGUUGAUGUCUCAGAAUUUGGAAGAGUUAUUGAACAUGUUGCCCAAGGCAGUCGCUUUGAAACUGCUGGAGCAAAAUGCUGUUGCUUGGCUCGUACUAGCUGAGGCUCAAUUCACUCUGCAAGUAAUCUCCGCUGACAACACCGAAUUUUACUACGUGGUAUCGUCACUCAGAAGUUCCACAGCUGCGAUUGUGGUGAGUCUGCUUGAAUACUACCAAGUGCUGACCGCCUCAUAACUUUAACUGUGCCAGCGCACAGAGAUCUGUGAACACCAUGGGUUCCAGCCACCAGGGUCGUUCACUGAACAUUACAGACACCCUUUCAGGGCAGCGUUUCUUGUGUGACCCAGGUGCUCAAGUGAGUGCACUGCCAGCCUCGUCUAUUGAUGAGAAAGCAAAGAGCGAGGAGGAGGCCACCAAAUGCAGGAAGAUCUAGACUUACGGGACACGAUGGGUGCGCUCUGCUUCAGUGGAUGACGUUACGUAUCACCCACAGUCCAAUGGCCAAUGCCAGCGGUUUCACUCCUCCUUAAAGUCUGUUCUGAACGUUUCCCUGACCAAUGAAUGUUGGCAACAUUGUCUCCCAUGGGUCCUUCUGGAGCUCAGAACUUCUCCAAAAGCUCAGAACUGUCCAUGGCAGAGUUACUAGUCCCAGACGAUUUCAUUCCUGAUACCACGACCACCUGGUUGGCCUCUCAACAGCCUUCCACUCCUCAAUAAAUUCAAUUCCUUUUCACCUAUUUCUACCUCCCAUUAUGGUGUACAGCACUCUUGGGUUUCUGUUGACCUACAUUCCACCUUGUUAGAUUUCUUCGACCAUGACACAGGCUAACAUCUCCUUAGGAUGGCCCAUUCUGAGUUUUGGAAUGGGGAGAAAAGACUUUUAUCAUAGAUAAGAGGGGUAAACCCGAACAUACUUCUGUACAUCACCUUAAACCAGCCCAAAAAGAUUCCGCUACCAUGCCCCUGACAUCAGAGCAUGACCAUGAGUGUCAACACACCUCUGGAUGAGCCAGAGGCACCUGCUGUUCCUCCACCCAUGGAACACAGGACCUGAGCCAGGUGGCUCGUCCAAGCUCCAGACAGGCUCACAACGCCAAUUUUGUUGAAUUCUGGGAGGGUCAGUGUAGGGUUACAUAAUUGAGAGAAAUGUGCAUAGUUCUCAACCACAGAUAUUGAGUUGGGAUUUCAUUCUAAGUGGCUGGUGUGAUGUGAUGUCAUUGUUAU